UGGGGAAUAUUGCACAAUGGGCGCAAGCCUGAUGCAGCCAUGCCGCGUGUAUGAAGAAGGCCUUCGGGUUGUAAAGUACUUUCAGCGGGGAGGAAGGCGAUAAGGUUAAUAACCUUGUCGAUUGACGUUACCCGCAGAAGAAGCACCGGCUAACUCCGUGCCAGCAGCCGCGGUAAUACGGAGGGUGCAAGCGUUAAUCGGAAUUACUGGGCGUAAAGCGCACGCAGGCGGUCUGUCAAGUCGGAUGUGAAAUCCCCGGGCUCAACCUGGGAACUGCAUUCGAAACUGGCAGGCUAGAGUCUUGUAGAGGGGGGUAGAAUUCCAGGUGUAGCGGUGAAAUGCGUAGAGAUCUGGAGGAAUACCGGUGGCGAAGGCGGCCCCCUGGACAAAGACUGACGCUCAGGUGCGAAAGCGGGGGGAGCAAACAGG
rnacentral:rRNA from 1 species